UACGUAGGGUGCAAGCGUUAAUCGGAAUUACUGGGCGUAAAGCGUGCGCAGGCGGUGAUGUAAGACAGUUGUGAAAUCCCCGGGCUCAACCUGGGAACUGCAUUUGUGACUGCAUGGCUAGAGUACGGUAGAGGGGGGAUGGAAUUCCGCGUGUAGCAGUGAAAUGCGUAGAUAUGCGGAGGAACACCGAUGGCGAAGGCAGCCCCCUGGGCUGAGAUUGACGCUCAGGCACGAAAAGCGUGGGGAGCAAACAGG
rnacentral:rRNA from 1 species